UAAUACGUAGGGCGCAAGCGUUAUCCGGAUUUAUUGGGCGUAAAGAGCUCGUAGGCGGUUUGUCGCGUCUGCCGUGAAAGUCCGAGGCUCAACCUCGGAUCUGCGGUGGGUACGGGCAGACUAGAGUGAUGUAGGGGAGACUGGAAUUCCUGGUGUAGCGGUGAAAUGCGCAGAUAUCAGGAGGAACACCGAUGGCGAAGGCAGGUCUCUGGGCAUUUACUGACGCUGAGGAGCGAAAGCAUGGGGAGCGAACAGG
rnacentral:rRNA from 1 species